rnacentral:ncRNA from 1 species
UAGCGACGACGUGGUGAUUUGAUGCCGGAUUGCGGGCCACGUUAAACAUUCCGCUAAAAGGGUUUGAGGGGUCUGCCC